UGUGGGAGCUGGCUUGCCAGCGAUAGCGGUGGAUCAGUCGCCACCCAUGGUGAACGUGGCGCCGUCAUCGCUGGCAAGCCAGCUCCCACA
rnacentral:misc_RNA from 1 species